rnacentral:rRNA from 1 species
AUUGAACGCUAGCGGGAUGCUUUACACAUGCAAGUCGAACGAGUGGCGGACGGGUGAGUAAUAUAUCGGAACGUGCCCAGUAGCGGGGGAUAACUACUCGAAAGAGUGGCUAAUACCGCAUACUAUUGGCGCGGCCCAUAGCGGCUUAGCUAGCUGGUGGGGUAAAGGAUAACCAAGGAAACGAUCCGGAGCUGGUUUGCGCGGACGACCAGCCCCACUGGGACUUGGACACGGCCCAUACGCCUACGGGCAGCAGCAGUGGGGAAUUUUGGACAAUGGGGGAAACCCUGAUCCAGCCAUCCCGCGUGUAUGAGAAGCCCUUCGGGGUGUAAAGUACUUUUGGCAGAGAAGCGGUAUCUGCAGAAUAAGCACCGGCUAACUACGUGCCAGCCGCCGCGGUAAUAC